rnacentral:rRNA from 1 species
UACGUAGGGUGCGAGCGUUGUCCGAAAUUAUUGGGCGUAAAGAGCUUGUAGGCGGUUUGUCGCGUCUGCCGUGAAAAUUCGAGGCUCAACCUCGAACUUGCGGUGGGUACGGGCAGACUAGAGUGUGGUAGGGGAGACUGGAAUUCCUGGUGUAGCGGUGAAAUGCGCAGAUAUCAGGAGGAACACCGGUGGCGAAGGCGGGUCUCUGGGCCGAUACUGACGCUGAGGAGCGAAAGCGUGGGGAGCGAACAGG